UGAGAUUGACCACCAAGAAAGUUGGUCCGAGAGUUAAGACAAGAGACAAGUGAACGCCGAUGCGAAAAGUACCGCCAAGGCCAGGAGAGCCGCUUAGGGAAAAAAGCUAAGGCCACUGAAUGUCCAGAUUGUCAUUAUCCGCAACCUACGGAUGGCAAAUCUCAUAAGAAAUCUUACUAGUAAAACUGUACCUUCAUCUUCCAAACUUAGAGUUAAAAAUAAAGAACAGAUAAUCAUAAAUGAUAUUGAGG
rnacentral:lncRNA from 1 species